ACAUUGAAUUGAAGUAACAAAAUGAAGUCCAUUGUCCUGGUUUGUGUUCUUCUGAUUUCAGUUCUUUUCCCCCCAACGGAAGUAGGGGCUCGACUAUUGGUCGAGAAGUCUCUACUAGAAAUGGCUGCUACGCCCAUAACUGUUAAUCCUGCUCGUCCAGUCUGUGGCAAAGGUACACUGUACAAGUCUUGCAUCCCUGCCAGAAAGCACCCUCCGAAGUGUAAAUCCAUCUAUCGUUGCAGAUCAUCACCUCCCUCCCCUUAAAAUGACUAUUAAUUUAGUAGCUUAUGGUCUCAAUUCACCAAUAUGAUCAAAUAGUAUAGCCCUCAACAUGCUUUGUGGGUUUUGGUGUUAAUUUUUAAAAAGGGGAUCAGUUGUAUUGGAGAAGUGCUUGAUUUAAUGAUGUAAGCUAAGCUGGUAUAUGGUAUGUAUCAGUACAAAGAAUAAAGGAUCAAAAGUAGGUAGUGUUUUAUUUCUCUUCUCUCCUCCCUCUUUACCUUUCAUCCCUCCAGUUGUAUGUGAUUGAAAUUAUCAACAACAGUGAAUUUUAUGUAUUACUCCUUGUUAUAUUAAUCCUCUUGGAAGUUCAUUUUUAA